CAAGUCGAACGGUAACAGGAAGAAGCUUGCUUCUUUGCUGACGAGUGGCGGACGGGUGAGUAAUGUCUGGGAAACUGCCUGAUGGAGGGGGAUAACUACUGGAAACGGUAGCUAAUACCGCAUAACGUCGCAAGACCAAAGAGGGGGACCUUCGGGCCUCUUGCCAUCGGAUGUGCCCAGAUGGGAUUAGCUAGUAGGUGGGGUAACGGCUCACCUAGGCGACGAUCCCUAGCUGGUCUGAGAGGAUGACCAGCCACACUGGAACUGAGACACGGUCCAGACUCCUACGGGAGGCAGCAGUGGGGAAUAUUGCACAAUGGGCGCAAGCCUGAUGCAGCCAUGCCGCGUGUAUGAAGAAGGCCUUCGGGUUGUAAAGUACUUUCAGCGGGGAGGAAGGGAGUAAAGUUAAUACCUUUGCUCAUUGACGUUACCCGCAGAAGAAGCACCGGCUAACUCCGUGCCAGCAGCCGCGGUAAUACGGAGGGUGCAAGCGUUAAUCGGAAUUACUGGGCGUAAAGCGCACGCAGGCGGUUUGUUAAGUCAGAUGUGAAAUCCCCGGGCUCAACCUGGGAACUGCAUCUGAUACUGGCAAGCUUGAGUCCCGUAGAGGGGGGUAGAAUUCCAGGUGUAGCGGUGAAAUGCGUAGAAAUCUGGAGGAAUACCGGUGGCGAAG
rnacentral:rRNA from 1 species